GCCUACGGGGGGCAGCAGUAGGGAAUAUUGCUUAAUGGGCGCAAGCCUGAAGCAGCAACGCCGCGUGUGCGAUGAAGGCCUUCGGGUUGUAAAGCACUUUUAGCAGGGAAAAGGAAGGAUGGUACCUGCUGAAUAAGCCUCGGCUAACUACGUGCCAGCAGCCGCGGUAAAACGUAGGAGGCGAGCGUUAUCCGGAUUUACUGGGUGUAAAGCGCGUGCAGGCGGUCUGUUAAGUGGGAUGUGAAAGCUCCCGGCUCAACUGGGAGAGGUCGUUGCAGACUGGCAGACUGGAGAGCAGGAGAGGAAGGUGGAAUUCCGGGUGUAGUGGUGAAAUGCGUAGAUAUCCGGAGGAACACCAGUGGCGAAAGCGGCCUUCUGGACUGCAUCUGACGCUCAGACGCGAAAGCUAGGGUAGCAAACGGGAUUAGAUACCCCGGUAGUCCC
rnacentral:rRNA from 1 species